rnacentral:rRNA from 1 species
UACGAAGGGGGCUAGCGUUGUUCGGAAUUACUGGGCGUAAAGGGCUCGUAGGCGGCCAACUCAGUCGGACGUGAAAUCCCUCGGCUUAACCGGGGAACUGCGUCCGAUACUGGAUGGCUCGAGUGUGGGAGAGGGAUGCGGAAUUCCAGGUGUAGCGGUGAAAUGCGUAGAUAUCUGGAGGAACACCGGUGGCGAAAGCGGCGCACUGGACCAUAACUGACGCUGAGGCGCGAAAGCUAGGGGAGCAAACAGG